rnacentral:rRNA from 1 species
GACGAACGCUGGCGGCGUGCUUAACACAUGCAAGUCGAACGGAAAGGCCCUGCUUUUGUGGGGUGCUCGAGUGGCGAACGGGUGAGUAACACGUGAGUAACCUGCCCUUGACUUUGGGAUAACUUCAGGAAACUGGGGCUAAUACCGGAUAGGAGCUCCUGCUGCAUGGUGGUGGUUGGAAAGUUUCGGCGGUUGGGGAUGGACUCGCGGCUUAUCAGCUUGUUGGUGGGGUAGUGGCUUACCAAGGCUUUGACGGGUAGCCGGCCUGAGAGGGUGACCGGCCACAUUGGGACUGAGAUACGGCCCAGACUCCUACGGGAGGCAGCAGUGGGGAAUAUUGCACAAUGGGCGGAAGCCUGAUGCAGCAACGCCGCGUGCGGGAUGACGGCCUUCGGGUUGUAAACCGCUUUCGCCUGUGACGAAGCGUGAGUGACGGUAAUGGGUAAAGAAGCACCGGCUAACUACAUG